rnacentral:antisense_RNA from 1 species
CUUCAGCGAGCCGAGCCAGGCCGGUUCGGACCGGUUUUGGCCGUACGUGGCCAAAAUCGCCUGGGCCUC